rnacentral:tRNA from 8 species
GCGGGAUUAGUUCAUCGGUAGAAUAUCUGCUUUCCAAGCAGAGGGGACGGGUUCGACUCCCGUAUCCCGCU